rnacentral:rRNA from 1 species
UCUGGUUGAUCCUGCCAGAGGCCACUGCUAUCGGGGUUCGAUUAAGCCAUGCGAGUCGAGAGGUGAAAGACCUCGGCGUACUGCUCAGUAACACGUGGACAACCUACCCUAAGGAGGGGGAUAACCCCGGGAAACUGGGGAUAAUACCCCAUAGACUAGAGAAGCUGGAAUGCUCUCAAGUCCAAAGGUCCGCCGCCUUAGGAUGGGUCUGCGGUCGAUUAGGUUGUUGUUGGGGUAACGGCCCAACAAGCCCGUGAUCGAUACGGGUUGUGAGAGCAAGAGCCCGGAGAUGGAUUCUGAGACACGAAUCCAGGCCCUACGGGGCGCAGCAGGCGCGAAAACUUUACAAUGCGGGAAACCGUGAUAAGGGAACCCCGAGUGCCCGUAAAUUCGGGCUGUCCAUCAGCGUAAAAUAACUGGUGAAGAAAGGGCCGGGCAAGACCGGUGCCAGCCGCCGCGGUAAUACCGGCGGCUCGAGUGGUGGCCACUAUUAUUGGGCUUAAAGCGUCCGUAGCUUGGUUGUUAAGUCUCUUGGGAAAUCUACCGGCUCAACCGGUAGGCGUUCAGGAGAUACUGGCAAUCUAGGGACCGGGAGAGGUGAGAGGUACUCCAGGGGUAGGAGUGCAAUCCUGUAAUCCUUGGGGGACCACCUGUGGCGAAGGCGUCUCACUAGAACGGCUCCGACAGUGAGGGACGAAAGCUGGGGGAGCAAACCGGAUUAGAUACCCGGGUAGUCCCAGCUGUAAACGAUGCGCGUUAGGUGUAUCGGUGACCACGAGUCACCGAGGUGCCGAAGGGAAACCGUGAAACGUGCCGCCUGGGAAGUACGGUCGCAAGGCUGAAACUUAAAGGAAUUGGCGGGGGAGCACCACAACAGGUGGAGCCUGCGGUUUAAUCGGACUCAACGCCGGAAAGCUCACCGGAUAAGACAGCGGAAUGAUAGCCGGGCUGAAGACUCUGCUUGACUAGCUGAGAGGAGGUGCAUGGCCGUCGUCAGUUCGUACUGUGAAGCAUCCUGUUAAGUCAGGCAACGAGCGAGACCC